UCGGGAAUUUUGGGCAAUGGGCGAAAGCCUGACCCAGCAACGCCGCGUGAGGGAUGAAGUAUUUCGGUAUGUAAACCUCGAAAGAAUGGGAAGAAUAAAUGACGGUACCAUUUAUAAGCUCCGGCUAACUACGUGCCAGCAGCCGCGGUAAUACGUAGGGAGCAAGCGUUGUUCGGAUUUACUGGGCGUAAAGGGCGCGUAGGCGGCGCGGUAAGUCACUUGUGAAAUCUCUGAGCUUAACUCAGAACGGCCAAGUGAUACUGCUGUGCUAGAGUGCGGAAGAGGCAACCGGAAUUCUUGGUGUAGCAGUGAAAUGCGUAGAUAUCAAGAGGAACACCUGAGGCGAAGGCGGGUUGCUGAGCCGACACUGACGCUGAUGCGCGAAAGCCAGGGGAGCAAACG
rnacentral:rRNA from 1 species